AACGCUAGCUACAGGCUUAACACAUGCAAGUCGAGGGGCAGCAUAAAAGUAGCAAUACUUUGGUGGCGACCGGCGCACGGGUGAGUAACGCGUAUGCAACCUACCUAUCAGAGGGGGAUAACCCGGCGAAAGUCGGACUAAUACCGCAUAAAACAGGGGCACCGCAUGGUGAUAUUUGUUAAAAAUUUAUUGCUGAUAGAUGGGCAUGCGUUCCAUUAGGUAGUUGGAGAGGUAACGGCUCACCAAGCCCACGAUGGAUAGGGGAACUGAGAGGUUGGUCCCCCACACUGGUACUGAGACACGGACCAGACUCCUACGGGAGGCAGCAGUGAGGAAUAUUGGUCAAUGGGCGAGAGCCUGAACCAGCCAAGUCGCGUGAAGGAAGAAGGAUCUAUGGUUCGUAAACUUCUUUUGCAGGGGAAUAAAGUGCAGGACGUGUCCUGUUUUGUAUGUACCCUGAGAAUAAGGAUCGGCUAACUCCGUGCCAGCAGCCGCGGUAAUACGGAGGAUCCGAGCGUUAUCCGGAUUUAUUGGGUUUAAAGGGUGCGUAGGUGGUUUAAUAAGUCAGCGGUGAAAGUUUGCAGCUUAACUGUAAAAAUGCCGUUGAAACUGUCGGACUUGAGUGUAAGUGAGGUAGGCGGAAUGCGUGGUGUAGCGGUGAAAUGCAUAGAUAUCACGAAGAACUCCGAUUG
rnacentral:rRNA from 1 species